AGAGUUUGAUCCUGGCUCAGGAUGAACGCUGGCGGCGUGCUUGAUACAUGCAAGUCGAACGGAGAGUGUAGCAAUAUACUUUUAGUGGCGAACGGGUGAGUAACGCGUUGGUGACCUGCCCCGAAGCGAGGGAUAACAGUUCGAAAGAACUGCUAAUACCUCAUGUGAUCACCGGUUUUAGAAUCUGGUGAUUAAAGGUGAAAAUCACUUCGGGAGGGGCCUGCGUCCCAUCAGCUAGUUGGUAAGGUAAUGGCUUACCAAGGCGAUGACGGGUAGGGGACCUGAGAGGGUGGCCCCCCACAGUGGAACUGAAACACGGUCCAUACACCUACGGGUGGCAGCAGUAGGGAAUAUUGCAAAUGGGCGAAAGCCUGAUGUAGCAACGCCGCGUGUGCGAUGAAGGUCUUCGGAUUGUAAAGCACUUUUUGGAGGGAUGAGGAAGGACAGUACCUCCAGAAUAAGCCUCGGCUAACUACGUGCCAGCAGCCGCGGUAA
rnacentral:rRNA from 1 species